UAUUCCCAAGUGGAUAAACAAUAAAAUGACUUGAAAGGCUCUAGGAAAGAGAGAAAGCUUUGAUGUUUGAUGAAUGAGAGGAGUUGAGUUCCUGAUGAUUGAUUUGUGUAUGUAUAUAUAGAUGAUGAAAGGGUGUGUGGAAGAUCAUCUGCUACAUGAAAUGAGUGGUUAACAUUGGCAGCAAUGAGGGACACUAGCUUGUUUCAAAUCAAGAAAUCACAUGGGUUUGCCUUGCCAUUCACUUAACUCAUCCCCCAGCAGAUGCAUAUGCUGCUGUCCUUUUUUUUUGAACAUCUUUCCCAACUUCUUUGAGAUGACAGACUCUUAUCACAGGGACCAGAAGUGAGGCAUCUGUCUAAUAAAACCUAUCAGAUUAGGACUCAUAAUAGCCUUGAUUCAGACUUGCACUUCUAUCCAACUCUGGACCACCGGUGAAUAAUGUUUCUUUACAGACAAGAACUGGUGGAUCACCAAGCCGGCCAGCCUACCAUGUGGUUUUGCUGCUCAUAGAUUGUAAUGCUGCUGAUUUGUGCUUGAAAAUGCCACGACAGAGGAAAAGCGCAACUUCAUCAAUGGAAAGUGCUCCAAAUGCACUUCUUUAUUUAUAUCUAGAUAUUUUAAUGGUAAUGUUAAUAUUGAUGUUGUCUAAUCAAAGACACCAUCUUAUAUUAGGCAUGCCAUUGUGAAAAAUCAGAUGAGCCAUUAUAUCAUCAAGUAUUAUUUCCUUUUCAACAUAUGCUGUGAUGGGUAAUUUACCGCUACAAGAAAAUAAAUGAGGUAAUGAAAAAUAAGACAAGAAAGUUUAUCCGCAAUUAAAAUAUAUUCUUUUAGAUUCCCAUAUAUUCUAGAGAACAAGAAAGAUUUACAUAGAAUUAAAAAGAUAGAACUUGACUGUCAUUGAGUUCAAAAUUUGGAGUCUUAUGGACUUUAGACUAAUUGCUUAGAGAGUAUAUACAAUGUUCAUAUUUGCCUGCAUCAUAAGAUGUGGUUUGAUUUUUCUUCAAAAUUUGGAUCUUCAGCUCAGAAGCAGC